GGAGCUGUUGCGGUUGACGGCUGAGUGGUUUAUUUAAAUGUCGCCCGCUGCCUCUGUGAUUCGAGGGGACACAACCUCCUUAUCGUAAUGGGACGGGGGCAGACUAUUAUGGCUUUGAUGAUGCUGAAAACCAUGUGAGUGAGGUCACAGCAGUGAGCAGGAUCACCAGCCUUCUCUGAUACAGAAACUAAGGAAACUGCAAAUAUAAAAGAUAUAGCAGGAAUAAAAGAGUGGAACAAUUAAUGUGGGUGGGUGUCGGGAGUGGACCAGCAGAGGCCUACAGAGAAUGGAGACAGAUGCAGAAAGGCUACGAAGAAACCUUGGAGGAAGAAAUCUAUCUAGAAGUGCUUUGACAACUGCAACUGCAGGAAGUGCCUGAGAUCCAGCGAUAAGACGCCGCUUCCACAGACCCCUGCAGAACUCCCCUAUCUGUGCCCCUCACCAUUCCUUCCCUUCCUUCCCUAACUCCUAAAUCUCCCUAUAUGGCUGGACAUAUCCCUGCGGUCAAUCCCUCCAUUUUCCCUUAUCUCUGACCCUUAGGAUUCGGUGCCCCUGGCAAGAAUCCCACCCUAGUUCGAGACCCUUCUAUGUACCCCUCUAUAUAAACUGACACCUUGUUUUAAUAAACGCCAUUUUGUGAGUCACCUAUCUGGGGGCUCAU